GAUAAACGCUGGCGGCGUGCAUAACACAUGCAAGUCGAACGAUGAAACUUAAAUGAUUUCUUCGGAAUGAACUUAAGUGGAUUAGUGGCGAACGGGUGAGUAACACGUGAGUAACCUGCCUUACACAAGGGGAUAGCCUCUGGAAACGGAGAAUAAUACCCUAUAAAGUCUAAUCAGCCCAUGCUGGAAAGACCAAAGAUUUAUCGGUAUAAGAUGGACUUGCGUCUGAUUAGCUAGUUGGUGAGAUAAAAGCUCACCAAGGCGACGAUCAGUAGCCGGCUUGAGAGAGUGUACGGCCACAUUGGGACUGAGACACGGCCCAAACUCCUACGGGAGGCAGCAGUGGGGAAUUUUGCACAAUGGGGGAAACCCUGAUGCAGCGACGCCGCGUGAUUUAGAAGGCCUUCGGGUUGUAAAAAUCUUUUUUACGGGAUGAAAAUGACAGUACCGUAAGAAUAAGGUCCGGCUAAAUACGUGCCAGCAGCCGCGGUAAUACGUAUGGACCGAGCGUUGUCCGGAAUCAUUGGGCGUAAAGGGUACGUAGGCGGCCUAGUAAGUUAGAAGUUAAAGAAUAUAGCUCAACUAUAUAAAGCUUUUAAAACUGCUAGGCUUGAGAGAUGGAAGGGAAAGUGGAAUUCCUAGUGUAGCGGUGAAAUGCGCAGAUAUUAGGAAGAAUACCGGUGGCGAAGGCGACUUUCUGGUCAUCAUCUGACGCUGAGGUACGAAAGCGUGGGUAGCAAACAGGAUUAGAUACCCUGGUAGUCCACGCUGUAAACGAUGAGUGUUAGGUUCUUGGAAUAAUCUGGGAGCCGCAGCUAACGCAUUAAACACUCCGCGUGGGGAGUACGCACGCAAGUGUG
rnacentral:rRNA from 1 species